rnacentral:misc_RNA from 1 species
CCGCUCUCGUCCACGUCUGCCCCUGCGUCCGCGCGGGGGCGUCGCGAACGUGACCCUCGCUUAUGUAUACCCAUCGUUACUCCCUCGGCGGGCGACCCGCCGCCGGGAACAACCAAACCCCUUCAUGUAAAGCAUCAAAACUUCUGAACCAAAACAAAUACAAUUA